AUCAACCGCACAUUUUCCAUACUACCCCCGAUUAAUUUGUAAGUUUGUGAUUAGUACGACACUGAUUUCUUUUGAGAAUAUAACUGGAUGGGCGAAUCCAUUUCUGUUUUCAAAAAGUUAGGAUUUCCGUUGGGAAAAACAUCUGUUUAAAAACUGUUCGAACAAGAGUAAGAAGGAAGAGUUAAGAACAUACGAACACAGGACACAAACACUACACACAAGACACUCGCAGAACAUGCACAGAGAUGCUUAAGAUCAGCAAGAAAAAGGGUUGCGUUAUUGACGACUGGAAGAUCGGCGUCUUAUGUUCGAGUUUGUUGAUUGGGACUGGUUUAGCAACAAUAUGUAAAGAUGAAUGGCCGGUGUUACUUGGUGUCGGUAUUGGUUUGGGCAUGAUUGUCUCAGAAAUGAUAUGGUUGGAUGAACGAGUCCGAUCUGAUAAAACUUUUUAGCCUUCAAUAAAGGACUGUGCAUUUGUUGCUAUAUUGAAGAACAGCCAAUCAAACAAAUAUGAACUAUUAUAAAGAUUUUGCGCUGUGAAAAAAAGAGUUAAUUUUUUUGUGUAUUAAUGUUAUGUUUAAAAUGUUCUUCUUUCACAAAACAUCUGAAUUGAUAAAAUAAAUAAAAAUAUAUCAAAUAUAAUUAUUUCAUAUGUGUAAUACGUUGUAGAGGAAAGUGAAAAUAUAAUGUAGAUUGUGGAUUUGUAUCGAG